AAGAGAUUGGAAGAAGAGAGGAGGAUCUCCAGUUUCCUGAGGAAUGAUGCUACUUAAAUUCAGUUAAGAGGAGAAUAUAUCUGAACAAGGACCAGAUAAAGAGUCACAAGAUAAGUUGGAGCAAAAGCAAGUACAUUUUUGCAUAUGGAAGCAAAGGAAUGAACUUGCUCCAGAAUUGAGAAAACGGAUUAUAGCCCCCUGAAUUGUGGUGGGGCUCUUGGCCACCUAGCUAGAGACCACAUCUGGAGCUGUGCGUGUAAACAUUGCUGACAGACACGCAACCGAAAGCGAUGUGUGUAAAUUCCAGAUUACAUAUAUGAAAAUAAGCGGUUUGCCCUGCACACAGACAUU
rnacentral:lncRNA from 1 species